AAUCAGGUGCUGCUGGGAGGAGGCGCGUCAGCCAGGGGUGGAGGAAGCAGAAAAGGCUCUCUCACCUCUAACGCCGCAGUGGAUUAGAGCAUCUGAGAAGCUCUGGAAAAAACCUCUCAGGAAAACAACGACUUCAGCAGGACCCACUAGCCAAGGAAAGGGGAUAAAAUAAAUAGCAAAGGGAAGGAAAAACACGCACCUCUGGGAUGCUGCAGGUCCUGUUGCAGCCGCCGCCAUCCCUCGAAGCCACCGUUGCUUCUGCCAGAGCUGCUACUAGCGCGCUUAUCAGCUCCGCCACCGCCCAAGGGGGAAACUUCUGCAGAAACCCCAACCGAGCUUCCGUCUAACACAAGCUCCAGGCCGGGCGCCGUGGCUCACGCCUGUAAUCCCAGCACUUUGGGAGUCCGAGACGGGUGGAUCACGAAGUCAGGAGUUCAAGACCAGCCUCGCCAAGAUGCUGAAACCCCGUCUACGAAAAAUACAAAAAUUAGCCGGGCGUGAUGGUGGGCGCCUGUAAUCCCAGCUACUGGGGAGGCUGAGGCAGGAGAAUCGCUUGAACCUGGGAGGCAGAGGUUGCAGUGAGCCGAGAUCGCGCCACUGCACCACAGCCUGGGCGACAGAGCAAGACUCCUUAAUAAAUAAAUAAAUAAAUAAAAAAUAAAUAAAAUAAGCUACUUCGA
ensembl:lncRNA novel transcript